CCAAGGAGUGCAACAUGCGUGCGAGUCUUUGGGUGACAAACCCGUCGGCGCAAUGAAAGUGAAGGCAGGCGUUGGUCUGCUUAGGCGAGAGCCUCCUCGGGGGCACAUCGUCGACCGAUCCCAGGCUACGCUGUGGCGGGAUUUGAGUAAGAGCGUGCCUGUUGCGACCCGAAAGAUGGUGAACUAUGCCUGAAUAGGGUGAAGCCAGAGGAAACUCUGGUGGAAGCUCGUAGCGAUUCUGACGUGCAAAUCGAUCGUCAAAUUUGGGUAUAGGGGCGAAAGACUAAUCGAACCAUCUA
rnacentral:rRNA from 1 species